rnacentral:RNase_P_RNA from 1 species
ACGGAUCGGCAGGCGGCCGCGGCGGCGGGGCAACCCGCCGACGAGGAACGUCCGGGCACCGCAGAGCAGGAUGGUGGGUAACGCCCACUCGGGGUAACCCGCAGGCAAGUGCAACAGAAAGCAGACCGCCGUCGUCGGGAGUCUUUCCGGCGGCGGUCAGGGUGAAACGGUGGUGUAAGAGACCACCAGUGGCCUCGGUGACGAGGUCAGCUAGGUAAACCCCAUCCGGUGCAAGGCCGAACAGGAUGCGUUUGAGGGCUGCUCGCCUGAGGAUCCGGGUUGGCCGCUUGAGCCCGUCAGCAAUGGCGGGCCUAGAUAGAUGGUCGUCAUCCCGUCACGGGUAACGGUGACGGGUCACAGAACCCGGCGUACCGCCGAUCCGUCCCC